GAUCGCAGUCGGCCUUGUGUCGGCGACGGAUCUUUCAAAUGUCUGCCCUAUCAAUUUUCGAUGGUAGAUGAUCUGCCUACCAUGGUGAUAACGGGUAACGGGGAAUCAGGGUUCGAUUCCGGAGAGGGAGCCUGAGAAACGGCUACCACUUCCAAGGAAGGCAGCAGGCACGCAAAUUACCCAAUCCCGGCACGGGGAGGUAGUGACGAAAAAUACGGAUACGGGACUCGUAUGAGGCUCCGUAAUUCGAAUGAGUACACUUUAAAUCCUUUAACGAGGAUCAACUGGAGGGCAAGUCUGGUGCCAGCAGCCGCGGUAACUCCAGCUCCAGAAGCGUAUAUUAAAGUUGUUGCAGUUAAAAAGCUCGUAGUUGGAUCUGGGUCGUAUGGCUACGUGCCGUCGCUCGCAUUCUUGGUUUGGUUACGACUAGAUCAAGUUUGUGGGUCGGUGUCGUGGCUGUGCAGCCUUUCUGCCGUGUCUGUUUCGACAGGUGCCGGUCUAAUCGAUGGGUUUGUCCUGUCGGUUGGUUGGCAUGCUUCCAGAUGCCUUUGAACGGGUGUCGGGAGCGGACGGUGCGUUUACUUUGAACAAAUUUGAGUGCUCAAAGCAGGCCUGUGCCUGAAAAUUCUUGCAUGGAAUA
rnacentral:rRNA from 4 species